GCCAGUGUGGAAUAGUUGUUUGAGCAUUGGAUUAUGACUCUGGGGAUCAGGGUUCAAAUCCCUGCUUGGCCA
rnacentral:tRNA from 1 species